UCCCCUUCAAUUGUGUAAGUUACUGUUUUCCUUGUUCAAAUAUAAUUUCCGCGACGAUGGAUCAAUCGUCAUAGAUUGAACGAAGCAAGCAUCCACUUCCCUAUCUCUCAACACCCUACCUCUUGCGGCUUUGAAGAUGCAAAGUUCGAAAGCAUCGAGUUAUCUAGAUAUAUACCGUACCAUAGGGAUGGUUUAGCGGCGCCACCUUACUAUAUAAACCCCCUCCUUCUGCUGCUUGAACAUCUUCUCUUCAUUGUGUCUAUUUUUCCUUUCUUUUCUUGUAACUGCCCUGUCUGAUGUGUGUCAUUGCCAUCCCUUCUUCCCUCUGACUUCCAUCAUUAGUAUCACCUGGCUCAGCUGUGCCAUAGCUGAAGCUGUUUUCAACAUGGUGAUCACUGACAUGUCCACUGUUCUUCUUUCUCAAUACGUUUCACCUCCCUCUACUGUCAAGUUACUCUAAAAUCAUGCACAGACUGAGAUCCGCUAUUGAAAUAUCUAAUCUGUAUGGGGCCGUGACUGACUGAGGUUUUCUGUUCACUUUUGUUGAUCUCAUUUUCUUAUCGCCAUCUAAUGGCCGAUAUUCGAAAUACGCACUUGCUUUCAUUGAACUCGCUAUGGUAGGUGUCUAUACGGACAUCGAAACUUUCACGCGCCAACAGCUAGAGUUCAGGGCCUGAAGAAUACUGGAUAUGACACUACAGUUCCCUCCGUGUUAUACACAAUUAUCGACCCUGCAAACAACUAUCACACAUUCCCUCAAGAGGUACGAACUGAACGACCCGAAAUACUUUUUGUCUUUCCUCUGAAAAGAGAACAUUGGGUUGUGAUGGGAAAGACUCCGACAAAACAUAACUUUCUAGCUCUAUUGAAAUGAAUAUCUUCCAAGAUAUGAAUUUGAUUGACUUACUAAAAUCCUGGAGCUUCGACAGCAGUGAGCAGAAGUCAUACAUUGUUAAGAUCAUCAGAAAGGUUCUUGAAGGCUGCUUUUCAUUCUAGUAUUUAAGUUAAAAAUAAGCAAUCCUCUUCUUAUCUCACUCUCUUUUACUCUAUCCUUCUUUCUGCUUUUAUCCACCUUCUUUGUCGCCUCCUAACCUCUCCACACCGGUGACCCCAAGACACAACAAACAACCAACAACAUCUUUUGAUCCAUUCCCCAGCUCAGCCUCAAUACAAAGUCAGCACACUCAGAAACAAGUUCUCCAGCAAGGAUAAAAAUAUUCUUUAACUCCAGGUGACUACCGAAUACCAAAAGCUCUCACAUUGCCUCGCCCAGCUGCCAGCGCAUCCAUUUCCCGCAUGUCAUCCAUAAUUGGUUGAUACAAGUAAUGCUGUGAAAGUGAAAAACGAAUGUAGUUCGGGAAUGACGGAGUGUAUAGUGAGACCCAAAUGCGGACCACAUAGAUGUCCUCACUUUGUUGAGAAACCAAGGAGUCCGACUGAGUUUCCUGGUGCUAUUGACUGAACUUUGAAGCUUGAGGUGGCAUUCUGAUGAAGCAAUUCCCUACAGCGCUCCAAGCUGAUCCGAGCUUUUGAGAGUUCUUUAGAAAAGAUAGAUCUGUUCUUCUCAAGCCUUCUCUUCUUUAGCCCAAGGUUCGGUGAUAUAGCAGAUAGCGCAUUUUGGAUCUCAGCUCGUUCAAAAUCUACAAACAUAGGGCGAUUGCAGUCCUCAUUCCAUAAAAUAUUUCGUGGCUCGACAUCACGGUGGAGUACCCCUGCAAGGUGAAUUGCUUGAAGAGACUGUGAUGUCAUCUCAAUCAUGCAUGCUGAAUUAUCUGACUUCAUAAUUUCCGAGAUGGGCUUUCCCGCCCAGCUCAAAAGGAGCAUAUGGGUAUAAACUCCCCCAUCAUAGUAAUACGGGUAUUUUGGAUCAAGCACAACAAUCCC
rnacentral:sRNA from 1 species